rnacentral:rRNA from 1 species
GACGAACGCUGGCGGCGUGCUUACCACAUGCAAGUCGAACGAAGUGGCGAACGGGUGAGUAAUACGUGAGUAACCUGCCCUCCUUUUUGGGAUAAGCCUUGGAAACGGGGUCUCAUACCGGAUAAAGGGGGAUGUGCUCUCGGCCUCUCAGCUUGUGGGUGGGGUGAUGGCCUACCAAGGCGGUUACGGGUAGCCGGCCUGAGAGGGUGACCAGCCACAUUGGGACUGAGAUACGGCACAGACUCCUACGGGAGGCAGCAGUGGGGAAGAUUGCACAAUGGGCGCAAGCCUGAUGCAGCAAUGCCGCGUGUAUGAAGAAGGCCUUAGGGUUGUAAAGUACUUUCAGCGGGGAGGCGUUACCCGCAGAAGAAGAACCGGCUAACUCCGUGCCAGCAGCCGCGGUAAUUC